CAGCACUAUAACUGUUUGCCUGCCUGCCUGCCAGCUUACCUGUUCAAAUAUGAAGGCCAGAGCCGUCAUCGCCGUCGUAGUUGUUAUGCUAGUUGUUUUGCAAUGCUGCAGUCACACUGAAGGGUUUGGAGUCAGCGGCGGACCCCCUGGUCGUGGUCUUGUGGGCGGCGUAAUCGUCGAUCCUGAUGAAUUGGUAGAUAUCUGUGCUGAUUUCACUCCCGGAAAUGGAAAUGGAAAAGGGAAAUAAUCUGUAAACUCAUAUUCUUAUAAUUCGAACUGUACGUUCUAGAUCGACAAUAGAGAAGAAAAUUAAUAAAUUAUAGCAGAAACGUUCAACACAUGAA